UUAGAGUUUGAUCCUGGCUCAGAACGAACGCUGGCGGCGUGGAUAAGACAUGCAAGUCGAACGAGAGAAUUGCUAGCUUGCUAAUAAUUCUCUAGUGGCGCACGGGUGAGUAACACGUGAGUAACCUGCCCCCGAGAGCGGGAUAGCCCUGGGAAACUGGGAUUAAUACCGCAUAGUAUCGAAAGAUUAAAGCAGCAAUGCGCUUGGGGAUGGGCUCGCGGCCUAUUAGUUAGUUGGUGAGGUAACGGCUCACCAAGGCGAUGACGGGUAGCCGGUCUGAGAGGAUGUCCGGCCACACUGGAACUGAGACACGGUCCAGACACCUACGGGUGGCAGCAGUCGAGAAUCAUUCACAAUGGGGGAAACCCUGAUGGUGUGACGCCGCGUGGGGGAAUGAAGGUCUUCGGAUUGUAAACCCCUGUCAUGUGGGAGCAAAUUAAAAAGAUAGUACCACAAGAGGAAGAGACGGCUAACUCUGUGCCAGCAGCCGCGGUAAUACAGAGGUCUCAAGCGUUGUUCGGAAUCACUGGGCGUAAAGCGUGCGUAGGCUGUUUCGUAAGUCGUGUGUGAAAGGCGCGGGCUCAACCCGCGGACGGCACAUGAUACUGCGAGACUAGAGUAAUGGAGGGGGAACCGGAAUUCUCGGUGUAGCAGUGAAAUGCGUAGAUAUCGAGAGGAACACUCGUGGCGAAGGCGGGUUCCUGGACAUUAACUGACGCUGAGGCACGAAGGCCAGGGGAGCGAAAGGGAUUAGAUACCCCUGUAGUCCUGGCAGUAAACGGUGCACGCUUGGUGUGCGGGGAAUCGACCCCCUGCGUGCCGGAG
rnacentral:rRNA from 1 species